rnacentral:rRNA from 1 species
CCUACGGGGUGCAGCAGUGAGGAAUAUUGGUCAAUGGACGAGAGUCUGAACCAGCCAAGUAGCGUGAAGGAUGACUGCCCUAUGGGUUGUAAACUUCUUUUAUAAAGGAAUAAAACGAGGCACGUGUGCCCUUUUGCAUGUACUUUAUGAAUAAGGAUCGGCUAACUCCGUGCCAGCAGCCGCGGUAAUACGGAGGAUCCGAGCGUUAUCCGGAUUUAUUGGGUUUAAAGGGAGCGUAGAUGGGUUGUUAAGUCAGUUGUGAAAGUUUGCGGCUCAACCGUAAAAUUGCAAUUGAUACUGGCAGUCUUGAGUACAGUUGAGGUAGGCGGAAUUCGUGGUGUAGCGGUGAAAUGCUUAGAUAUCACGAAGAACCCCGAUUGCGAAGGCAGCUUACUAAACUGGGACUGACAUUGAUGCUCGAAAGUGUGGGUAUCAAACAGGAUUAGAUACCUUGUAGUC